UUUUCGUACAGUACGAACUGUUGUAUUAAUGUUGUAUCUAUAUUUUCUUCGUUUCGUCCAUAUCAUGUACAAAAUUUAAUCAUGGUUGUUAAUGUUGCAGCGGUAAAAAUGGUGUUGAACCUUUAGCUGGAGCUAAUAAUGCACAACCCAAUCAUUAUGAAGAGGCUGGAGAACUUAGAGAAAAUGCUUAUGAAUCCGUUGGCAAUCAAUAUGAAACAGUAAAUAAUCCAUCAACAGGUGAUGAAAAUAAACCAUCAACAAGUAAAGCACCACCACCUGUAUAUGCCUCGAUUGAUAGAGAAAACAGAGAAGGAAAUCCGUUAUACUCCUACCUUGACUUUAAAGAUGAACCUAAAAGAAAGCCAGACAAAAAUCGUCCUGCACCAACUGAAUACGCCAGUAUUGAUAUGAGUAAACUGGCACCUGUCGAGAAAAAAGACGACAAGAAAGGCGGUGACAAAGAAGGAGAUGAGAAGAAGGAAUAAACUGGCGAUCGUCGUUAAUAAAACAAGACUACGUAGAGACUGUUACUACAUUUAUAAAGUUUUAUUUUGUUCUUCAUUAUAUAAUCUAGAUUUGAUCUCUAAACAGUAUUAAACCGAAUACUUUAUGAUUGUGUCUGUGUACAUAAUCUUUUGCCAUGAACAAACUUGAAUCUUGGCAUCUAUGCUACAGUUUGUGAAUGUGUAUUUUACUUGCCUUUAUAAGGCAACAACAUUACACACUGACUUUAACGCAGCGUUUUGAAUAGAAUAUUGUUUUAAUCUUAGUUUAACUUUGAUUAUUUUAAUUAUCAUGGUUAAACCAUUUAAACUUUUAUUUACAUAGAAAUUAAGUGUAGAAAUUAGAUAGAAAAAUCAAGCAAUGUCAAGGAGUGUGAUGGAAAACUCUUUAAAUUGCUUCUUUACGAUUGAAUCAUUUCAUAUGCAUUAGUGUAAGGGAUGUUUACGAAUAAAACAAUUUCGUGAUCAUUAUUA